rnacentral:tRNA from 1 species
GGGGGCAUAGCUCAGUGGUAGAGCGCGUGCUUAGCAUGCACGAGGUCCUGGGUUCAACCCCCAGUACCUCCA